GUUGUUGUUGGGGGCGCUUGCUGCAUUUAAAUGUAGGAGGUGCCAUGAUGUCUAGUGGAGAGGGUGGAAUUGUAGAAGGAGGUUGCAGAGUUAGGACAGGUGAGGUUUGAGAUAAGUAAAAGCGUUUGGAGGUUAGUGGAGAAGUUCUCUAGGUCAAGAUAUUGGAGUUUUUUGUGAUAUUGAUGUGCAGAUGGUGGUGUCAGUUGGGUCCUGG